UACGAAGGGUGCAAGCGUUACUCGGAAUCACUGGGCGUAAAGCGUGCGUAGGCGGUUUCUUAAGUCUGUCGUGAAAGCCCUGGGCUCAACCUGGGAAUGGCGAUGGAUACUGGGAGGCUAGAGUGUGAUAGAGGAUGGUGGAAUUCCCGGUGUAGCGGUGAAAUGCGUAGAGAUCGGGAGGAACACCAGUGGCGAAGGCGGCUUCCUGGUCUGCAACUGACGCUGUGGCGCGAAAGCUAGGGGAGCAAACGGG
rnacentral:rRNA from 1 species